rfam:Otolemur garnettii contig001158, whole genome shotgun sequence.
GGAUAGGCUGGUUUUUACAAACAUAAAAUCUUUAUCCUCCCUCUCCACUUCAGGUGCAUCCUUCCUGAAGAUGCACACUCAGUGGAAGAGGACGAUGUUCCUUGAGAGAGGAGGACUGUUCUUUAGUCAAGGGUCCUUCAAUGAAUGAGUAGCUGUGUCCCCAGUUAGAACCUCGGAACAAGCUCUCAAAUAUAAAAUCUUUUAAACUUUUUUCUCCUCAAACUUUUCACACUUU